AUGAGUGUUUUAGAUCACUGGGGGGGAGGGGAUUAUUCAUGGCCCAGUGCACUACCUUUGUUGGAAAAUAUUUUUGAAAAAUUAUAUAUUAUAUAUAUUUGUAUUAUUAAUUUAUAUAUUUGUUUUUAUUGUAAUUUUUUCAGGUGGUGCUGCAACACCCUUCACACCCAUACUUCCUGCGGCGAUGCACACAACCUGCCGUCUCUACUAUUGGUCAAUGAGGAUGGAGGGCUGCUCACUCCACCUCUAACACGUCUGAACAGACACUGCUGCACAGAGGAUAAGAAAGGGUAUCGCCAUCCAUCUCACAGAGGCCACAAAUCUGCUCCUCCACUCCUCACGACUGAAAAGGUACGCCAUUAUUUGGAGUGCUGCUUGGUUUUACCACAGUCAGAGACGCAGCCAAGGGAGAAAACAGGCCCAGAUCUGGGUUUAUGCCAUUCGAAGUCCGCUGUGAUAGGGUUUACUCCAUGCUUAAAGAACCGUACCCUGAUGUUAAGUCAAGAUAUAGAGCUUCAGUUUAUGUGCAAGUAUAGAGCAUUAGCGUAUCCCCUAUCGUUACAAAACCACAUGAAAAA
rnacentral:lncRNA from 1 species